UUAAUUUGAGAGUUUGAUCCUGGCUCAGGACGAACGCUGGCGGCGUGCCUAAUACAUGCAAGUCGAACGAACUCUGGUAUUGAUUGGUGCUUGCAUCAUGAUUUACAUUUGAGUGAGUGGCGAACUGGUGAGUAACACGUGGGAAACCUGCCCAGAAGCGGGGGAUAACACCUGGAAACAGAUGCUAAUACCGCAUAACAACUUGGACCCCAUGGUCCGAGUUUGAAAGAUGGCUUCGGCUAUCACUUUUGGAUGGUCCCGCGGCGUAUUAGCUAGAUGGUGAGGUAACGGCUCACCAUGGCAAUGAUACGUAGCCGACCUGAGAGGGUAAUCGGCCACAUUGGGACUGAGACACGGCCCAAACUCCUACGGGAGGCAGCAGUAGGGAAUCUUCCACAAUGGACGAAAGUCUGAUGGAGCAACGCCGCGUGAGUGAAGAAGGGUUUCGGCUCGUAAAACUCUGUUGUUAAAGAAGAACAUAUCUGAGAGUAACUGUUCAGGUAUUGACGGUAUUUAACCAGAAAGCCACGGCUAACUACGUGCCAGCAGCCGCGGUAAUACGUAGGUGGCAAGCGUUGUCCGGAUUUAUUGGGCGUAAAGCGAGCGCAGGCGGUUUUUUAAGUCUGAUGUGAAAGCCUUCGGCUCAACCGAAGAAGUGCAUCGGAAACUGGGAAACUUGAGUGCAGAAGAGGACAGUGGAACUCCAUGUGUAGCGGUGAAAUGCGUAGAUAUAUGGAAGAACACCAGUGGCGAAGGCGGCUGUCUGGUCUGUAACUGACGCUGAGGCUCGAAAGUAUGGGUAGCAAACAGGAUUAGAUACCCUGGUAGUCCAUACCGUAAACGAUGAAUGCUAAGUGUUGGAGGGUUUCCGCCCUUCAGUGCUGCAGCUAACGCAUUAAGCAUUCCGCCUGGGGAGUACGGCCGCAAGGCUGAAACUCAAAGGAAUUGACGGGGGCCCGCACAAGCGGUGGAGCAUGUGGUUUAAUUCGAAGCUACGCGAAGAACCUUACCAGGUCUUGACAUACUAUGCAAAUCUAAGAGAUUAGACGUUCCCUUCGGGGACAUGGAUACAGGUGGUGCAUGGUUGUCGUCAGCUCGUGUCGUGAGAUGUUGGGUUAAGUCCCGCAACGAGCGCAACCCUUAUUAUCAGUUGCCAGCAUUAAGUUGGGCACUCUGGUGAGACUGCCGGUGACAAACCGGAGGAAGGUGGGGAUGACGUCAAAUCAUCAUGCCCCUUAUGACCUGGGCUACACACGUGCUACAAUGGAUGGUACAACGAGUUGCGAACUCGCGAGAGUAAGCUAAUCUCUUAAAGCCAUUCUCAGUUCGGAUUGUAGGCUGCAACUCGCCUACAUGAAGUCGGAAUCGCUAGUAAUCGCGGAUCAGCAUGCCGCGGUGAAUACGUUCCCGGGCCUUGUACACACCGCCCGUCACACCAUGAGAGUUUGUAACACCCAAAGUCGGUGGGGUAACCUUUUAGGAACCAGCCGCCUAAGGUGGGACAGAUGAUUAGGGUGAAGUCGUAACAAGGUAGCCGUAGGAGAACCUGCGGCUGGAUCACCUCCUUUCUAAGGAA
rnacentral:rRNA from 1 species